CGGGGUCCACAUUAAGGCGACGCAGUGGCGUCGACACCUACAUGCACCUCGUGGUAAAUAUUACUGAAACUCGUGCAAAAAUCGGAGAAAAAUCGUUGAUUAAUUUUACAGUUCAAGAAUAAGUACUAAAAUAUUAUUAUGGUUUAUACUCCAAUGAGAUAGCACGAUUAAGUAGGUGCAGAGUACAAAUAAUAGGGAUGAUGACAGUUUUUAAAACACAUUAUAUAAAUUACGAAAGUCAACAUAUUGUAACCAUGUCAAGUUCCCUAUUGCGUCAUUUGGCUAACAGCCCCUUGUCUGAGUCAACUGUUAUUGUUCUGAUGAUAGUCCUUUCAGUCAAUAGUCAAAAAUAGCCUUAUUGGCGAAAAACUUGAAAAGUAGGAAAUCCUUGAGACGGCGCGUUUGGUGUCGAGUUUUUUCAAGCUGGAGCCCUGGCCGCCGAUUGAGCAAAAGCCCUAAAGCGGAGUAGCAGAUUUUUUUAAUUUUUCUAUUUAUUUUGUACAAUAUGAUUAUCAAAACGGUUAUUUUUUGAAAUAUUGUUUAUGUAAUAAAUGAGAGAAAAAAUCGAAUGACCUA